rnacentral:tRNA from 1 species
GAUUCCGUAGCUCAGCUGGGAGAGCGCUACCUUGACAGGGUAGAGGUCGCUGGUUCAAGCCCAGUCGGAAUCA